rnacentral:misc_RNA from 1 species
UUUCCGUAGGUGAACCUGCGGAAGGAUCAUUAUCGUAUAACCGAGGUGCGAGGGCUGUCGCUGACCCGAAAGGACGUGCACGCCCGAGCGCUCUUACAUACAUCCCUCUCCACCCUAUGUGCAUCUCCGUGCGGCUCCCCCCCCUGCUCUUUCGGUGGGGGGCUUACGUUUUCUUACACACUUUGUCUGCCGUGUAGCAUGUAUUUUUUGCUUUUGCGUUCACGCCCCCAACACAUCUUCCAACAACGGAUCUCUUGGCUCUCGAUACGCUGAAGAACC